rnacentral:rRNA from 1 species
GAUACCCUGUUAUUUAAAAUGUAAGUUUAAAAAUUAAGGUAGUAAUAGUUAUGUUCUUUAAACUUAAAAAAUUUGGCGGUAUUUUAGUCUAUUCAGAGGAACCUGUUUUGUAAUCGAUAAUCCACGAUGGACCUUACUUAAUUUUGUAAUCAGUUUAUAUACCGUUGUUAUUAGAAUAUUUUAUAAGAAUGUUAAUUUUCAUAAUUUUUAUAAGAAAAUAUAUCAAAUCAAGGUGUAGCUUAUAUUUAAGUAUAAAUGGGUUACAAUAAAUUUAUUUAAGCGGAUAUAAAUUUGAAAUAUUUAUUUAAGAUGGAUUUGAUAGUAAAAUUAUAUAGAUUAAUAAUUUGAUUUUAGCUCUAAGAUAUGUACAAAUCGCCCGUCACUCUCUGA